UCAGUUUCGGGGCUUGGCAGGCGGGCCUUUAGUUUGACCGACCCUUCUCUGAAAAUAUCACCAAAGCCGACGCCUCGGAUCUUCUUGGGCUGAGCAAUAACUCCGUUCCCUGAGGCGGGUGGAGGCGAUGUGGGGGCGGUGGUGUUUUCUACUCCGCUUCCAUCUGGUGGGGAGAUACAACAGGCCUUCACUUUAAUGAGGCCAAGCUCGUUUGCUGCUUCUCACCAGUCUCAUCUGCUGGGGUGUCGAUGAUCUCUCCGUCCUCUCCUGUGGCAUCCACCUCUUUCACAAAGUUGGAGGGAAACAGUCCUGACUUGCCGUUCAAGCUGCCGCUCCACCAGCCCUCUUCAACCUGCACAGACAAGAUAUUUACUAAACCACGCGACAUGGAAAUUUUUCUGUUUUCUGUAUAUUUGAGUGUAACAGUCAGUUGGCUCCUGUCUGCCACAGUGAUUGAAGCACCACAGGUGCCAAAAUGUUUUCUAUUGUAACACACAUGGGGUCUGUUUUCAUUUCAACAAAGUUAUUGUUAUUGUUAACACAGUAUACACUCACACUCUCUUACUUGUUCUAACUUCCCAGUGAUGUAAAUAGGUUGGUAUCUCAUCCUGUUCACUGAUAAAAUACAUUAAGUGGUUGUAAUGUUA